GGCUAGUCUGGGGCCAAGAAUAGUUCAGACAUUCUUUCCUUCCUCUUGUGGUACCCUUACAUUUUCCUAUGCUUAGUUUUCUCAGGUCUGGAUCUACUCACACAGGCUGUGAUUCAAGCCCCGUUCUCCUCUGAAAUGUCGAUCCAUGGCUGGAAUGUAUAAUCUUGCCAGCCCUCAGUCAGUUAUAUCUCACAAUUAUCAGAAGGUGAUAAUCACGGGUCCGGCCAUGCUUUCAAGGGCCCAGCCGUGCAAUCGGACCACUCACAUCCCAGGUUGUCUCCGUUCCUCAAGUGACACUGGUCUUCUUGGUUUUGGAGGAUAACUGGAGCCAAGCUGGGAGACAUGGAGGUCAUCCUUGAGGUACCGGGUCUAAAGAUUUUAACAGCCCACGUAGGUUUGGCCAAGCCACCUGACCAGGAGGUGGAAGUGCAUCAGGCUCCAGGCAGGUUUGCAGAAGGCUUCCUGGAGUGUCAGAGAGAAAGUUCUCUGGGGCUCUAUAACCCCGAACGUGGACAAGUUGAGGCCUGCACCUGGCUCUAGGAUCCAACCAGUGCACGGUCUAUGCAGACCUGGCCAAGUGUCAUGCUGUUGUAGCCAAGACUGAACUUGGUGUUCUUUAUUUGCAGAUAUUUAAAUAUAACCCAGUUUUUCUUCACGUAUAUAGUAAAUCUCUUUAUUACUUAACCCUGUUUUUCACUCCUGCAGUUUGAAAGUCAGAAAAGUGACAGUGUCCUGACUGCAGGGAUUUUUUUUUUUCAUUAAGCCUGGGGUCUCUAAUAAG
rnacentral:lncRNA from 1 species